rnacentral:rRNA from 1 species
AGCCUAAUGAUUAAUUUUAUAUUAGGUGAAGUCUGCCCGGUGAUAAAUUUUAACGGCCGCAGUACCUUGACUGUGCUAAGGUAGCAAAAUAAAUAGGCUUUUAAUUGGGGUCGAGUAUGAAUGACCUAAUGGGUAAAAACUGUCUUGUAUAUACAUUUAUUAAUUUCCUUAAUAGGUGAAAAUUCCUAUACUUUAAUUAUUAGACGAGAAGACCCUUAGAGUUUUAAGAAAUUCAAUCUUUUAUGAUUUAAUCUUUUUGUUGGGGCGACAGAUUAUCAAAUUUAACAUAAAAAUCAAUUUCUAUUACAAAACUUCUAUUAUAAAUGAAUAUAACUACCUAAGGGAUAACAGCAUAAUUUUAUAAAAGAUUGUGACCUCGAUGUUGGACUAGGGACUAAUUAUAUAAGUCAUAUAAUUAGAAUAUUCUGUUCGAAUAAUUUUUACC